AGUCUAGGGAACUUUCCGCUUACAAAGUUUUCCCCCUUUUGGCAGAGCCUGGAGGUCUACAGUUACAGGCGGCUAGUCUGUGGCUGUGUCAGAAUUGGAAUCCACGUCCUUGCAAAGAGCUUCCACCACCCAGGACUCGGCUGGGAGGGUGGCAAGGGUGAAGCAGGCAGUGGGCCAGGGACCCUUCUAGGAAGAAGCCAAGGAGGCCGAGUGCGCCCCAGGUGCCCCCACCCCCAGACGGCAGCUCAGCGCCCAGCAGUCCCGGCGGAAGCGGCGCACCGAGAAGCAGUAGAUGAGAGGGUCCAGGCAGCUGUUGAGACUCAGCAACGCCAGGCUGAGGGUGUGCAGGACGUCGAGCGUGGAGGUGGCCCGGCAUCCGCCGCCUUCGCGGCUCGCGGCGACCUCCUGCCCCGUUACCCAGGGCGCCAGCAGCAGGUGGUAGGGCGCCAGGCAGAGGGCGAAGACCAGCAGGAGCCCCAACACCAUCGUCCUGGCCGCGCGCCGGUGCGCACCAGCGCGGGCUGGGCCCGGGCCCGAGGGCGCAGCGAGCGCCCGCGCCAGGCUCACGUAGGCCGCGAGCACCAGCAGGAAGGCGGCGGUGAAGAAGGCCACGGUGGUGUAGGCCAGGCCGGCGCGCGCCCAGCCGCGCUCCAGGCAGCGAGAGGCGCUGCCCGGCCCGGGGCUCAGCGCGUGCGGGGCGGCCAGCGAGGGUGCGGCGCAGGCCAGGCCUGCCAGCCAGGCGGCGGCGCACGCGGCGCGGGCCGGGCCACGGCGGCGCAGGGCCGGGCGGGCGGCCGCCUUGGGCCCGGGCCGGUGCACGGAGCUGCAGCGGCACACGCUGAUGAGCGCCGCGAAGGCCACGGCCGCGUAGGUGGACACAUAGUAGGCGGCCCCGGCUGCGCGGCAGGCGGCCUCCGGGAAGGGCCAGUGGGCCGGGCCCAGGUAGUAGGUGAGCCACAGCGGCAGCGUGAGCGUGAAGAGCACGUCGGCCAGGGCCAGGUUGAGCAGGUAGAGACGAAGGGCCUGGCCCAGGCGCCUGCCGCUGCGGACGAACACCGCCAGGGCCGCCACAUUGGCUGGCAGCCCCAGGCCCAGCGCCAAGGCAUAGGCCGCAGGCACCACAAUGAAGCGAGCAGGGUCGUCCCAGGGUCUGCAGCCGCCAACACCCAGGUCCCCCACGCUCCUGUUCAUCUCGGACCUUGUACUAGCAAGAGGAAGAGAGGUCAUUGUGGAGGCCAGCCGCACAAGAAGCCCUCCACCCCGCCUUUCCUCGCCAGACCCCAGUCCUCUCUUCCAAAAUCCGUGGUGGGAGGAGACUAG
rnacentral:lncRNA from 1 species